GGGGCUGUGGCGGAAUGGCAGACGCGAAAGUCUUAAAAACUUUUGCCCUUCGGGCGUGUGGGUUCGAGUCCCACCAGCCUCA
rnacentral:tRNA from 1 species